rnacentral:rRNA from 1 species
GUCUAUGGCCAUGCCACUCUGAUGUGCCCCAUCCUGUCUAAUCUCGAUCCUGUCUGAUCUCGGAAGCUAAGCAGGGUCGGGCCUGGUUAGUACUGGGAUGGGAGACCACCUAGGAAGAUCAGGUGCUAGAGGCA